UGAGGAACAUGACCUUCGGCGGGGGAUAGCCGGCCCAACGGCCGGGUAAUACCGCGUACGACCACAUGGGGACAUCCCUGAGUGGUGAAAGCAGCAAUGCGCCGAUGGAGUGCCUCGCGGCCUAUCAGCUAGGUUGGUGAGGUAACGGCUCACCAAGGCGACGACGGGUAGCUGGUCUGAGAGGAUGGCCAGCCACAUUGGGACUGAGACACGGCCCAGACCUNUACGGGAG
rnacentral:rRNA from 1 species